CGCCCAACAGCUAGCCCACCCAAACAAUUUCAACAAACCCUUGUUAAUAACCCCUAAGUACCCCAGUAUUUAAAUUAAACAAACCAUUUUUCCCCCUUAGUAUAGGCGAUAGAAAAGGGACAAACGGCGCAAUAGAGAAAGUACCGCAAGGGAAUGCUGAAAGAGAAGUGAAAUAACCCAGUAAAGCCUAAAAAAGCAGAGAUCUAAACUCGUACCUUUUGCAUCAUGAUUUAGCGAGUGUACCCCAAGCAAAGAGUACUUUAGUUUGACGUCCCGAAACUACGUGAGCUACUCCAAGACAGCCUAUCAAUAGGGCGUACCCGUCUCUGUGGCAAAAGAGUGGGGAGAGCUUUGAGUAGAGGUGACAAACCUACCGAACCUAGUUAUAGCUGGUUGUCCAAGAAAUGAAUAGAAGUUCAGCCUCUUGGCUUCUCUUUUCGCCCUAGUUUAACCCCUAUUGAUGCAUAAAGAAACCGAGAGAGUUAGUCAAAGGGGGUGCAGCCCCUUUGAAUCGAGACACAACUUUCCAGGAGGGUCUUGAUCAUA
rnacentral:rRNA from 1 species